GACGAACGCUGGCGGCGUGCCUAAUACAUGCAAGUAGAACGCUGAAGAGAGGAGCUUGCUCUUCUUGGAUGAGUUGCGCACGGGUGAGUAACGCGUAGGUAACCUGCCUUGUAGCGGGGGAUAACUAUUGGAAACGAUAGCUAAUACCGCAUAACAAUGGAUGACACAUGUCAUUUAUUUGAAAGGGGCAAUUGCUCCACUACAAGAUGGACCUGCGUUGUAUUAGCUAGUAGGUGAGGUUAUGGCUCACCUAGGCGACGAUACAUAGCCGACCUGAGAGGGUGAUCGGCCACACUGGGACGGAGACACGGCCCAGACGCCUACGGGAGGCAGCAGUAGGGAAGCUUCGGCAAUGGGGGCAACCCUGACCGAGCAACGCCGCGUGGGUGAAGAAGGAUUUCGGAUCGUAAAGCUCUGUUGUAAGUCAAGAACGGGUGUGAGAGUGGAAAGUUCACACUGUGACGGUAGCUUACCAGAAAGGGACGGCUAACUACGUG
rnacentral:rRNA from 1 species